CCUACGGGUGACAGCAGUGAGGAAUAUUGGUCAAUGGACGAGAGUCUGAACCAGCCAAGUAGCGUGAAGGAUGACUGCCCUAUGGGUUGUAAACUUCUUUUAUAUGGGAAUAAAAUGUUCCACGUGUGGGAUUUUGUAUGUACCAUAUGAAUAAGGAUCGGCUAAAUCCGUUCCAGCAGCCGCGGUAAUACGGAGGAUCCGAGCGUUAUCCGGAUUUAUUGGGUUUAAAGGGAGCGUAGGUGGAUUGUUAAGUCAGUUGUGAAAGUUUGCGGCUCAAACGUAAAAUUGAAGUUGAAACUGGCAGUCUUGAGUACAGUAGAGGUGGGCGGAAUUCGUGGUGUAGCGGUGAAAUGCUUAGAUAUCACGAAGAACUCCGAUUGCGAAGGCAGUUCACUGGACUGCAACUGACACUGAGGCUCGAAAGUGUGGGUAUCAAACAGGAUUAGAUACCCCUGUAGUC
rnacentral:rRNA from 1 species